CUCCUCCAAAACCUGGACUGAUCUGUUUGUGUUUGCUUGGUGCUGGGAAGCUGCGCUGCAUAGGCGGAAUUGUGACUCCGUUUAUUUGGCAGCCUGGUAAUGCAACAGCCUCCUGAUGAGUCUUUGACCACCAUAACACUGGAUUUGACACUUGCUGCUGUUUUGCCUAUAAGGAACUGUUUUGCCUAUAAGGAACUGUUUUGCCUAAAGAAAUUCUUAAAAGGACCUAUCUGGACUUUCCCCCUGCUGUCGGGAGCAUUGAUGACACUACCAUCCGGAAAAAGUGCAAUAUUGUAGCGCUAUUGUGCCACUGUUUUACUCAUAUUGUUUCAUUUUUGUCUUUCUUUUAGGGACUGAGGCUUCUGUGGUGGCGGUGGUGACCCCUGGUGGCGGUGUCUUGUUUUGUGUGUUUUGUUGGAGCACCUUCUUUUUUGUUUGCCGUGUCUUUGUAGUGUCCAGGGUGAUCCCUUUUCUUCACUGGAUGUUGCCCCUUUUCUCACCACUUCCCCCCCCCCACUGGUAAGCCUCAGUUUC